rnacentral:rRNA from 1 species
AGCGAACGCUGGCGGCAGGCUUAACACAUGCAAGUCGAGCGGGCAUAGCAAUAUGUCAGCGGCAGACGGGUGAGUAACGCGUGGGAACGUACCUUUUGGUUCGGAACAACUGAGGGAAACUUCAGCUAAUACCGGAUAAGCCCUUACGGGGAAAGAUUUAUCGCCGAAAGAUCGGCCCGCGUCUGAUUAGCUAGUUGGUGAGGUAAUGGCUCACCAAGGCGACGAUCAGUAGCUGGUCUGAGAGGAUGAUCAGCCACAUUGGGACUGAGACACGGCCCAAACUCCUACGGGAGGCAGCAGUGGGGAAUAUUGGACAAUGGGCGCAAGCCUGAUCCAGCAAUGCCGCGUGAGUGAUGAAGGCCUUAGGGCUGUAAAGCUCUUUUACCCGGGAUGAUAAUGACAGUACCGGGAGAAUAAGCUCCGGCUAACUCCGUGCCAGCCGCCGCGGUAA